rnacentral:rRNA from 1 species
UACGGAGGGUGCAAGCGUUAAUCGGAAUUACUGGGCGUAAAGCGCACGCAGGCGGUUUGUUAAGUCAGAUGUGAAAUCCCCGGGCUCAACCUGGGAACUGCAUCUGAUACUGGCAAGCUUGAGUCUCGUAGAGGGGGGUAGAAUUCCAGGUGUAGCGGUGAAAUGCGUAGAGAUCUGGAGGAAUACCGGUGGCGAAGGCGGCCCCCUGGACGAAGACUGACGCUCAGGUGCGAAAGCGUGGGGAGCAAACAGGAUUAGAUACCCUGGUAGUCCACGCCGUAAACGAUGUCGACUUGGAGGUUGUGCCCUUGAGGCGUGGCUUCCGGAGCUAACGCGUUAAGUCGACCGCCUGGGGGUACGGCCGCAAGGUUAAAACUC